rnacentral:rRNA from 1 species
UACGGAGGGUGCAAGCGUUAUCCGGAAUUAUUGGGCGUAAAGGGUACGUAGGCGGCUGGUCAAGUCUGGGGUCAAAGGCCACAGCUCAACUGUGGGAAGGCCCUGGAAACUGACCGGCUAGAGUGAGGUAGGGGUUGCGGGAAUUCCCGGUGUAGCGGUGAAAUGCGUAGAGAUCGGGAAGAACACCUGAGGCGGAAGCGCGCAACUGGGCCUCAACUGACGCUGAGGUACGAAAGCUAGGGGAGCGAAUGGG